AUCUAUGGCCAUACCACCCUGGACGCACCUGAUCUUGUCUGAUCUUGGGAGCUAAGCAGGGUCAGGCCCAGUUAAUACUAGGAUGGAGGAAAUAACUUUGCACAACAGUUC
rnacentral:rRNA from 2 species